AUUUUGUAUUCUGCAUAUCCCCUCCUCAAUCAUUGCCUAGCCCCUAGAUGGCCAAUUCCGAAAAACUAAUGAGUUGAGAUCAUGAAAGGGGACUUAUGCUUUCAUUAUGUAGAUAAAGACGCUUCAGGACAUUCCUGAAACCAGAGACUGAUGCAAGGAACUGAUCUCACUAUCAGGAGCGCAAGGGACGGCGGCGCAAGGGACGGCGGCGCAAGGGACGGCGGCGCAAGGGACGGCGGCGCAAGGGACGGCGGCGCAAGGGACGGCGCGCCUUUGCCCCAAGCUGGGACUCAAGCUGUUAUUGCCCUUGCCACAGGCCCCACCCUCAAGGGAGCAUAUUACAUGGCCCUGGAAACAGUAAACCACCCCCCAACCAUGUAAACCAGGCCCCACCCUCAAGGGAGCAUAUUACAUGGCCCUGGAAACAGUAAACCACCCCCCAACCAUGUAAACCAGCCCCCCAUGUAAUAAUAAACAAAUUACAUGGCUCUGGAAAUGGUAAGCCAGCCCCCCAUGGUUCGUUUUUCACUCUGGCAGCAGGGAAGGGCCUAGAACAAGAUAUACAGGUCACACCUGUUUUUAUACUUUACUCUCCCCCUUCAUACUUCAAAAGUGAUUCUUGGCCCUGUCUUGUGUUAGAGAAGGAUCCUCAUUAUGAAAUAUCCCCAUCGUCUUCCUCUGGCCUCCUGCAACAUGUCAUAGGUCGGCC
rnacentral:lncRNA from 1 species